rnacentral:antisense_RNA from 1 species
CGGGCGCCUAUGGAACUCGACCUGCAGGCCAAAGGGGCUCCGUUGCAAGGAAGAAGUGCGGGGUCCCGCCGCCUCCUAGACCGAGAUCGCGGUGAGCAGGCCGCGGCGCACGGUGGGCACGGCCUGGGUGGCGGCGCCUGCACUGUCGCCCCGCGCCUGCGGAUCCUAGAGCCAGCUGGUCCACCGGAAGUGUGUGUUCUGCCUGUCCCUGCAGCCCGGAGGGCUGGGCUUUAUACCUGUGCCAAGGACAGGUGGAUACCUGUAAUCAAGGGUAGCAUCAGCAAGCCCGUGUUGUCUCCCAAAUAAAUGGUGUUCUCCAACAAGCUUUUAGCAGUAAUAAAGCUGACAUUUUUA